rnacentral:rRNA from 1 species
AGUGAACGCUGGCGGUAGGCCUAACACAUGCAAGUCGAACGGCAGCACAGUAAGAGCUUGCUCUUACGGGUGGCGAGUGGCGGACGGGUGAGGAAUACAUCGGAAUCUACUUUUUCGUGGGGGAUAACGUAGGGAAACUUACGCUAAUACCGCAUACGACCUACGGGUGAAAGCAGGGGAUCUUCGGACCUUGCGCGAUUGAAUGAGCCGAUGUCGGAUUAGCUAGUUGGCGGGGUAAAGGCCCACCAAGGCGACGAUCCGUAGCUGGUCUGAGAGGAUGAACAGCCACACGGGAAGUGAAACCCGGCCCAGCCCUCCACGGGGGGCAAGAGGUGGGAAUAUUGGAAAAGGGGCGCAAGCCGGAUCCCACCAUACCGGGUGGGUGAAAAAGGCCUUGGGGGUGGAAAGCCCUUUUGUUGGGAAAAAAAAACAGGAGGUUAAUCCCCCGCUGUUCCUGCGGUACCCAAAAAAAAAGCCCCCGCUAACCUCG